CAUAUGGGCCUUCAAGAAAAUGUUUAGAUUCCAACCAUAACAGAGACUGUUGGCAGGGAGGCAGGGAACGGUGUGGGUGAGCUUCAGUGUAAACUAAGAUUAUCACAAGGACAUGGGAGGCAGAUAUAAAAGAGACUGGAGAUGGCUUUUAUUCCAUUCCUCCUAAGUCAGUCUGGAAAUGGAUAAAGGUCUACCUGCCACCUGCUACUGAGAAAGCAGAAGAUGAGUGGGGCUACUCUGAGAACUCUUCAUGCCAGAAGAAUCCAGGAAGGCAGAUAAUGCCUUUGAAAAUAUUUUUAAAAAAAUCUGAACUAUUUUAUUGACAUCAGAUGAAAGAGAUCAGCUUUAGAAUAUCUUCUGCCAUCUGUAUGAUGCCAGUUACAAGAGUAGCUGUACCUGUACCCAUAAUUUUUCUUUACUGGUUGAUUAGAGUGAGGAGGAGCCUAAGGGUUUGGAAUCAGAACAGACAGUCCAACAGAAGUUUCCAGAAACUAAACUUCCCCUCAGCAGGAGGCAGCACAUUCCACUACAAACAAAGCUGGACUGAACUCAAUCCAUAAAGAAACUCUUGGUAAUGGUAAACAACCUUGGAGAAAUGGUCCACUUGUCUGCGUAGUGCUCCUCAACCAAGAGAAUGUUUUUCUUCCUCUUCUUCAAGGGGGAUUUCACACUAAGAUGUGGAUGCCUGAGCCACACUUUCCUUAGAUGAGAACACAUGGUUGAAGAUGGCGUAAUGAACAGGGACACUGACUCUACACAGAAGCAGAAGAAAAGAAGCUAAGAAGAGGGGAAAAUCUCCCUAUUUAAUAUUGAUACAAGGGCACUCUUGGUGACCUGUGCCACAAUCAUUUUAUUAAAUCUUAGACA